AUUGAACGCUGGCGGCAGGCCUAACACAUGCAAGUCGAACGAGUGGCGGACGGGUGAGUAAUGUCUGGGAAACUGCCUGAUGGAGGGGGAUAACUAUUGGAAACGGUAGAUAAUACCGCAUACCAUCGGAUGUGCCCAGAUGGGAGUAGCUAGUAGGUGGGGUAAAGGCUCAACUAGGCGACGCUCCCUAGCUGGUCUGAGAGGAAGACCAGCCACACUGGAACUGGGACACGGUCCAGACUCCUACGUGAGGCAGCAGUGGGGAAUAUUGCACAAUGGGCGCAAGCCGGAUGCAGCCAUGCCGAGUGUAUGAAGAAGGCCUUCGGGUUGUAAAGUACUUUCAGCGGGGAGGCGUUACCCGCAGAAGAAGCACCGGCUAACUCCGUGCCAGCCGCCGCGGUAAUAC
rnacentral:rRNA from 1 species